rnacentral:lncRNA from 1 species
CCUCCAUCCUUUCGGCCCCAAACUGAUCCACUUGUUCCUUCAGACCCCUAAAGGAAGGCAUCCAGGGGCGGGGCCACAGCAGGAUGGAGUGGGGGCAGGGAAGGCUGAGGUUGCAGUUGCCUAGGAGACGCCGCCAGUAUCCGGCACUCAUCCUUCUCUGCCCCUAGGUGAGGGCAAGCCUCGGGUAGAGAGAAUGGGAGGAUGGGCUACGAAGGCGGGGAGGAGCCCUGGGUGCUGAGAGACGAGUCCCAACACACCGGAAGUCCUCGGCUCUGUGGCCUUGAAGCAAGAAGAUGGCCAAGGAUAUGCUCAAUGAGGAAAACCUCCAUCUGCCCAGGCUUCAGGACCUUGAACAGCUCCAUGGCCACUGAGUCAAUUCCAGAUAUUUUCCUGCUCACAUUGACCAACUUUUGAAACAAAGAAAAUGAGCUUUGCUAGAAAUUCAGAUACAAUGGAGAAUUGCCCAACCACUUUAAGGCUGAUCCCACUCUUCCAAG